GGAGAAUUAGGGUUCGAUUCCGGAGAGGGAGCCUGAGAAAUGGCUACCACAUCCAAGGAAGGCAGCAGGCGCGCAAAUUACCCAAUCCUGACACUGGGAGGUAGUGACAAAAAUAACAAUGCGGGACUCUUAUGAGGCUUCGUAAUUGGAAUGAGUACAUUCUAAAUCCUUUAACGAGGAACUAUUGGAGGGCAAGUCUGGUGCCAGCAGCCGCGGUAAUUCCAGCUCCAAUAGCGUAUAUUAAAGUUGUUGCGUCUAAAAAGCUCGUAGUUUGAAAACUUGCCUUGGCUUACAACAGACGUCUAAGGGCGUCACCGUUUGUCGAGAGCAAAUAUGGGUGACUGUUCUUGCCUUCUUCACUGAUUGGCUCGUAAAAGUCAUCGAAGAUCACUUUGAUUAAAUUAGGGUGCUCAAAGCAAGUGUGCUACUUGAAUAUGAAUGCAUGGAAUGAUGGAAUAUGUUGUUGUUCUAUUUGUUGGUUUUUUGAAUGAUGAAAUGAUUGAAAGGAACUGUUGGGGGCAUUCGUAUUGUUGUGAGAGAGGUGAAAUUCUUAGACCAUAGCAAGACGAACUACUGCGAAAGCAUUUGCCAAGAAUGUUUUCAUUGAUCAAGAACGAAAGUUAGAGGUUCGAAGGCGAUCAGAUACCGCCCUAGUUCUAACCAUAAACUAUGCCGACUAGCAAUUUGCUUUGUAUUUUUAUGACUAAGUGAGAGGCCACGGGAAACCAAAGUAGGGUUAUGGGGGAAGUAUGGUUGCAAAGCUGAAACUUAAAGGAAUUGACGGAAGGGCACCACCAGGAGUGGAGCCUGCGGCUUAAUUUGACCCAACACGGGAAAACUUACCUGGUCCUGACACUAGAAGGAUUGACAGAUUGAUAGCUCUUUCUUGAUUUGGUGGAUGGUGGUGCAUGGCCGUUCUUAGUUGGUGGAGUGAUUUGUCUGGUUAAUUCCGAUAACGAACGAGACUCUAGCCUAUUAAAUAAUAUGCGGAAUCAAUUUCUCCCGCGUUAUUUCUUAAUGGGAUCAAGCGUGUUUAACGCUUUGAAACAGAGCAAUAACAGGUCUGUGAUGCCCUUAGAUGUUCGGGGCUGCACGCGCUCUACAUUGAAGAACAAAGUGAGCCCUCUGGCUUUUAACAAAGCUAGAAAUCUUUUAAUGUUCUUCUUAAUGGGGAUAGGGGAUUGCAAUUGUGCCCCUUGAACGAGGAAUUCCCAGUAAGUGCUAGUCAUUAGCUAGUACUGAUUACGUCCCUGCCCUUUGUACACACCGCCCGUCGCUACUACCGAUUGAAUAGUUUAGUGAGAUCAUCUGAGUGUUUGUAUGUGCAUUCUGUGCUUGUAUGGUGUACGAAGAAGAUCAAACUUGAUUAUUUAGAGGAAGUAAAAGUCGUAACAAGGUU
rnacentral:rRNA from 1 species